CGGUCCCUAUCCGUCGCGGGCGCAGGAGAUUUGAGAGGAGCUGUCCUUAGUACGAGAGGACCGGGAUGGACUAACCAAUGGUGAACCAGUUGUUCCGCCAGGAGCACGGCUGGGUAGCUAAGUUAGGAAGGGAUAAACGCUGAAGGCAUCUAAGCGUGAAGCCUACCUUAAGAUAAGAUCUCCCAUAGCGUAAGCUAGUAAGACCCCUUGAAGAACACAAGGUUGAUAGGUAAAAGGUGUAAGUAUGGUAACAUAUUUAGCUGAUUUAUACUAAUAGGUCGAGGGCUUGACCAAAAUUAGCA
rnacentral:rRNA from 1 species